rfam:Ictidomys tridecemlineatus contig007395, whole genome shotgun sequence.
UGGGGUGUGGCUCAGUGACAGAGCACUCGCCUACCAUGUGCAAGGCCCUGGGUUCCAUCCUCAGCACCACAU